rnacentral:rRNA from 1 species
GUCGACGGAGCCUUACCAAAGAAGCAGCCAGCUUGCUGGAAGCGGAAAAGGGAAAGGCUUAGUGGCGGACGGGUGAGUAACGCGUGGGUAACCUGGCCCAUACAGGGGGAUAACACUUAGAAAUAGGUGCUAAUACCGCAUAACAACAGAAAGCGCAUGCUUUUUGUUUGAAAACCAAGGUGGUAUGGGAUGGACCCGCGUCUGAUUAGCUGGUUGGCGGGGUAAAGGCCCACCAAGGCGACGAUCAGUAGCCGGCCUGAGAGGGUGGACGGCCACAUUGGGACUGAGACACGGCCCAAACUCCUACGGGAGGCAGCAGUGGGGAAUAUUGCACAAUGGGGGAAACCCUGAUGCAGCGACGCCGCGUGAGUGAAGAAGUAAUUCGUUAUGUAAAGCUCUAUCAGCAGGGAAGAAAAUGACGGUACCUGAGUAAGAAGCCCCGGCUAACUACGUGCCAGCAGCCGCGGUAAUACGUAGGGGGCAAGCGUUAUCCGGAUUUACUGGGUGUAAAGGGAGCGUAGACGGCAGUGCAAGUCUGGAGUGAAAGGCGGGGGCUCAACCCCCGGACUGCUCUGGAAACUGUACGGCUGGAGUGCAGGAGAGGUAAGUGGAAUUCCUAGUGUAGGAGUGAAAUCCGUAGAUAUUAGAAGGAACACCGAUAGCGUAGGCAGGUUACUGGGACGGUUCUGACACUAAGGCACGAAAGCGUAGGGAGCAAACGGGAUUAGAUACCCCGGUAGUCUACGCCGUANACGAUG